rnacentral:rRNA from 1 species
CAAAGUGCGGCGUGCCUAUAGAUGCAAGUCGAACGAACUCUGUGUUGGGUUGUUGCUUGCAUCUUGAUUUACAUUUGAGUGAGUGGCGAACUGGUGAGUGACGCGUGGGAAACCUGCCCAGAAGCGGGGGAUAACACGUGGAAACAGAUGCUAAUACCGCAUAACAAGUUGGACCGCAUGGUCCGAGCUUGGAAGAUGGCUUCGGCUAUCACUUGUGGAUGGUCCCGCGGCGUAUUAGCUAGAUGGUGAGGUAACGGCUCACCAUGGCAAUGAUACGUAGCCGACCUGAGAGGGUAAUCGGCCACAUUGGGACUGAGACACGGCCCAAACUCCUACGGGAGGCAGCAGUAGGGAAUCUUCCACAAUGGACGAAAGUCUGAUGGAGCAACGCCGCGUGAGUGAAGAAGGGUUUCGGCUCGUAAAACUCUGUUGUUAAAGAAGAACAUAUCUGAGAGUAACUGUUCAGGUAUUGACGGUAUUUAACCAGAAAGCCACGGCUAACUACGUGCCAGCAGCCGCGGUAAUACGUAGGUGGCAAGCGUUGUCCGGAUUUAUUGGGCGUAAAGCGAGCGCAGGCGGUUUUUUAAGUCUGAUGUGAAAGCCUUCGGCUCCACCGAAGAAGUGCAUCGGAAACUGGGAAACUUGAGUGCAGAAGAGGACAGUGGAACUCCAUGUGUAGCGGUGAAAUGCGUAGAUAUAU